CCGGCCCUGCCUGGGAAGAGGGGGUACAGCUGUCAUCAGCUUCCCCCAGAAGGCCCGAUGCCUCUGAAGAUAUGAGAGGGAGAAAUGCCACCCCAUGCUCUCCUGUACCUUGGUGACGCUGAUGCUCCGUGUAUGUAACACUUUAACAGCACCACGCACGUUCCGAGGGCUGCGGGCAUCUCAACUCACCUUCACAGCCCCUCCGUGGCAUGGUGAGAAAACAGGGAGCAGCAGGGCAGAUGAUGGGGGGCAAACAGAGCAUGAACAGGCUGGAACUGGGAUUCAAACCCAGGUGGUGUCCAAGGCUUGGCCUGGCCCCUCAGUGUCACCCUCUCGGGGGCUCCCAGUGGAACUCGCAGCCAGCUGAGCCCAGCCUUCCCCAGCGCCCCCCUCACCCUGGACUGGGCCCAGGUCAGAAUGGGGAAAGGACUGGGGCCUGAGCCAGCUGCUCGUAUCUGUGGGUGGCUAGGUGUCCCUGGGCGUCCCUCUCCAGCCCUGCCCUGGCACCAGCAACUGUUCAGGGGUGUCUUGGCAGAGGCAGGUGGCUGAGGCCUGGGGAUAAUGAGCAUGCCUGUCACAGCCUCGUACACUCAGGUGUCUGCACAAAUGUCUGUUCCUCGGAGGGACCUGCCCUGACUGCUAGCAACCCAGAGCCCCGCCACGCCAUCCCUUUGCCCUGUUGCUGUCCAGCACAGCCCGUGCCUGCCGCCCUCUGCAGUUAUCUCUGUUCCCUUUGGUUCCUUCGCACGGAUUCAUUGAGCACCUACUAUGACUCCAACACAGCUCAAGUGCUGGCGGUACAGAGGUGAACAAAAUCAGCAAAAAUUCCAGCCUCACAAAUUUUUUUGACAUUCUAGCGGGGAGAACAAAGUGAAAUGUAUAGCAUGUUAGACAAAAACUGGAAAUAAACUACUAAGUGUCCAUCAACUGGUGAAUGGAUAG